rnacentral:lncRNA from 1 species
CGGCAGGGGGCGCUCUGCUCGGCGCCGCUAACGGUCGUUAAGGGCCGUUGGAGGGAGGAGAGCCGGUGGGGCUAUAGAACCUUCCAGAGCGGCGGCGACGCGGCGUGGAUUGGGGAGUGUUGAAGUGAGGUUUCAGCAAUUGCACAUGAAGGAUGGGCAGAAAACAGUAGAUGCAGAAGUCAUGCCAGUGUGCACGAGGUGCUGUGAAGCUGCAGUCAGACUGUGUUGUGGUAAAGAAGAGAAAGCAGCAGCAAGAUCCUGUGUUCUGACGGUGGCCUUGCACUUCACUGUGGGAUCUUAGUCAAGGCCUCCUUUCAUGAGUAACUGUGCUCUGUUACAGACGAGACAUGUGCGAACCCAGUGGCAGUGUGAGGACCCAGCCUUGUGUACACAUCUGGUGCUGCUUUACUCACGUUCUCCCACUCAGAAAAUCUGAUGAUAAAGACCUCAGGAAAGCAGUACAUCUCAGUCCUACAGAAACUGACCUGGCCUCUCUUAAUGAAAUGUAUUCUCUGCGAGAGAAGACAACUCGGUGAUCCUUGUUUAUAACAACUACACUUAUAAGAAUGGAAGUGUGGGGAGUACGACCAUCACUUUUCAAGCUACCGGUAACCUGCAGUGUAUGCCCAGGCCCCUGCUUUUCAGAGCUAGGCACCAGAGCUGAAUUAGCUGUGAUUAGAAAAUACAGGAAUGUUCUUUAAGGCAGAGAAGCAGAGCAAGCAAAGUUUUCCCUAGGGGUGUCAUCAUCUGGUGCUUCAUGCCUUGUAUGAAUCAGCUUCUGAAAUUUCAAGACAAUGUACUUUCAUGGCUGCAACUCUCAUCUCCUCAAAUAAAACCGGGCUGAAAGAUACUUACUGCCUUUAUAAAGCUCAGACCUUCAUGUGAUUUAAUACCAUCAGCUCCAGACUGAUUCCUGCAGUUCACUCUGGCAGUAAGAAGAUGUUUCAAGAGUCCAGCUCUAAUUGUUCUUGAUUUUCACUGAGUCUUAACAUAAGCUGUUGUUCAUAAUAAAGGCUCUUUGCAUAGUUUAUUUCUUGACAUAGCUUUACUGCAAGAACUUCAGAUUUCACAUUGACCUGCAGAAAGAAAUGGGUAUGUUGUUAAAGAGGCACUGUUUUUUUGUUUGUUUGUUUGUUUCACUGACUGAAGGAAUUUGCAUGGCUGUGCUUGAGGGAAUAAAAGUGCUUCAAUGGAAAUCUUGUUCUCAGUGAUGAGGAUGAGGUAUGGGAGAAAUGAGAGAGGGAAAGACAGGUAACUGAGUUUUGGUAAUAUUGGGUGGGAAUAGAAACAUCUUGCAAUAUCUGAAGUUAUUUCCUUUGCUUCCUCUCCUACCUUUCAUCUGUCUGUUCUGUUUGGAAUGUAAACUGACUUAGGUCAGGGGUGAGCUUGU